CCACCAUCAAGACCGGCAGAGGGACAGGCCCGAUGAAGCCGGGGCAGCCAGCGCGACCUUUCGGUCGUGUGUUGGUGCCAAAUCCUGCGGUGUGACCCUGGCGUCACCCGGCAGAUGGUCC
rnacentral:ncRNA from 1 species